CACGUAGGGCGCAAGCGUUGUCCGGAAUUAUUGGGCGUAAAGAGCUCGUAGGUGGUUUGUUACGUCCGCUGUGAAAUCCUAGGGCUUAACCCUGGGCUUGCAGUGGAUACGGGCAGACUAGAGGUAGGUAGGGGAGAAUGGAAUUCCUGGUGUAGCGGUGAAAUGCGCAGAUAUCAGGAGGAACACCGGUGGCGAAGGCGGGUCUCUGGGCAGUAACUGACGCUGAGGAGCGAAAGCGUGGGGAGCGAACAGG
rnacentral:rRNA from 1 species